UCGGGGAACUUCUGCAAUGCGCGAAAGCGUGACAGAGCAAGCCAGAGUGCUUUUCUAUAAUUGAAAAGCUUUUGUGAGAUGCAAAAAGUCUCACGAAUAAGGACUGGGCAAGACUGGUGCCAGCCGCCGCGGUAAUCCCAGCGGUCCGAGUAGCAGCCACUUUUAUUGGGUCUAAAACAUCCGUAGCUUGUAUUGUAAGUCUCUUGUGAAAUCUGGCCUCUUAAGGGUCGGACGUGCAAGAGAUACUGCUUUGCUAGAGACUGGUAGACGUAAGAAGUACGCACAGGGUACCGGUAAAAUGGGUUGAUCCUGUGUGGACUAACGACAGCGAAGGCAUCUUACGAGAACAGAUCUGACAGUGAGGGAUGAAGGCUAGGGGCGCAAAUUGG
rnacentral:rRNA from 1 species